rnacentral:rRNA from 1 species
UACGGAAGGCAGCAGUGGGGAAUAUUGGACAAUGGGCGCAAGCCUGAUCCAGCCAUGCCGCGUGUGUGAAGAAGGCCUUUUUGGUUGUAAAGCACUUUAAGCGAGGAGGAGGCUCUCUUAGUUAAUACCUAAGAUGAGUGGACGUUACUCGCAGAAUAAGCACCGGCUAACUCUGUGCCAGCAGCCGCGGUAAUACAGAGGGUGCGAGCGUUAAUCGGAUUUUACUGGGCGUAAAGCGUGCGUAGGCGGCUUUUUUAAGUCGGAUGUGAAAUCCCCGAGCUUAACUUGGGAAUUGCAUUCGAUACUGGGAAGCUAGAGUAUGGGAGAGGAUGGUAGAAUUCCAGGUGUAGCGGUGAAAUGCGUAGAGAUCUGGAGGAAUACCGAUGGGCGAAGGCAGCCAUCUGGCCUAAUCUGACGCUGAGGUCGAAAGCAUGGGGA